AAGUUGCUGCAAUACUAGAAAUUUGGGUAAUGAAUGAAAAUUUCAUGCCGGGGGGGGGGGGAUUCUUAUUACAGCUUACAGCUUUAUUGGAGGAGGCUAAGGCUGCUUGUUACUACCUAUUACUUACCUUGGGUACACAACAACAGCUGUAAUAGGUGGCUUGGAGCGUGGCUACAUCUCCCUGGACUUCUGUUGUUGCUGCCUUAGCCAGCAAGUACUUUGCCAUUGUGGCUGAAGAUUUGGUAUUCUCCCUGCAUGUUCGUUUUUCAAAGUUGCUGAACUUUGUUGAUGAAAGUAUCUCUCCAUCCUUUUCUGGGUUUUUGAACUCCCCCUUUGGAACAUUAAAUUUGACCACAUAGUAGCUUGGAUCUCCUCGAAUAUGAAAAAGAUUCACACUGAAAUCCUCUGGAGCUCAUUCACUAUGACAUUGUUGGAGAACUACUAAACACCAAUAUCUUCUGAUGGGACUGAAGGAUGUAUUAUUACUGCUGAAGGGGAAAAUGUAUUGCAAAUUGUUUUCAAGUGUUAAAAUUAAGUAACCUGCAAUGCAAAUAGACAAUCACUCCUCACAUUUGUGUUUACUUGUAUGAUGAUUUUCUUUUAUCUAAUGCAGUGCAGAAAUUAUUAAACAUCUGAAAAGUCAAAUUACAAUAUCAUAGUUCAUUUGUAAGGAAGAGAACUGCAUUUGAACUGUUAAGGUGAAGAACACAAAGUAAUAAUAAAAUAUUUCUUUUUAAAAUUUGUAUUAUUUUGUAUAUAUAAUUUUUAUUUUGAUAUAGUGGAAGUAUAUAAAAUUCUCUAAUGGAAUUUUCAUCUUUGUGAAGUUCACUUAUAUUUUUCCAGAAGGACUAAAACUGGGAUAGCAUCUCUAAAUGGGGACAUAAACAUUUCAGAAUCAAACGUUUACAUAGUUUUGUGAAAUUUUAGUUGGCCAUAAUAAAGACAUUACUGAUUUCAGACUUUGUUUUCUUCUUUUGGACCAAUGCAGCUUCCUUUAUUUUUAUUUCAAAUUUCAGUUUGCUUCAUUAUAUAUAUAUGAAACAGAUGUGUCAUAGGUUGUGUAAGUUUAGUCCCUAGUACAACUGAUCAGUCUCCAAGUUAUCUUUUUCACUUGGUGCCCUAUCAUAGUACACAAUUAUAGCACUAUGAUCCAACUGCCAUGGCAACAUCUUAUGGAAUCCUGGGAUUUACAGUUCGGGGAGAGGUUCUCAACCAGUACCUCAUUAAACUACAAACUCCAGGAUUCCAGAGGAUGUAAUUGUGGCAAGUAAAGUGGAAUUUUAAUGCUAUGACUGUAUAAUGUGAAAGAGCCCUUAAUGAGUGAACUGAAGGCCUUGAUACUCACUGCACAUUUGCUUGAGAGCUAACCAAAACAGAAAGUGAAAGGAAGCUGUUAAGAGUUGGAUUGAGACUUAAUAUCUACCUAUCUUGAAGAAUGGUCCAUGGAAAGCAGGAGCAACUCAGACCAAAAGUCCGGGGCAAUGGAAGCAGCUCAGACCAGAAUCUGAGGGCAGCAGCCACCGACAAAGCAAGGGAGGGGGAAUUCGACUGAUCAUAUUUAUACUUUAAAACUAGCCACAAGCCACGGUGAUUUCAUGGGAAACAAAGACUUGAUCACCCUUUUGAAAGACCAAAAGGGUUCCCAAUGUGGUGGCUAGCUUUGAUAACCAAAAGAUAAAAAAGGCUAAUUUGUCAAUAUCUGGAGAAUCCCAAAAUGAGGGGACAGGAAGGACAUUUAGUAGUAUAACUGGAUGAAAGGGACUUCAGUCUCAUUUGAUUUAGUUGCCAGAACUCAUAUUUCGAUGUUUGGUUUUUUAAAGAAGUUAAAUGUAUGUGUGUGUGUCCUCUAUCAAGCCCCUUCUCCCGUUGUUUUCAGCUUUCCACAUUUCUGGGGUCUGUGUGCUAUAUUCACAAUACUAAUUUUUCCAAUGUUUUAUAACUCUACAGCUCAUGCUGGCCUCACCAGUUUGGUAUCAAAACAUAGCUGACCAACAGUCAAAACCUUAUGCAUUUUGCCAGUUGAUCACUGUGGGUUAAGCAGGUAUAGAAAAUGAAAUAAAUGGGUUGGAUCCAGACUAAAUUGAUCAUACCUUUGCCUAUUGAAAUCAAGGGGACAAAUUAGUCAUGAUUAGCAUGAGUUCCAUUAGUUUUAGUUGGAUUAGAAUAUGAAUAACUUUAGUUGAGAUCUGUCUCAUCAUUGGGCAAUACAGAAAGCAUAAAAAGAUUACAGCUGGAUUCUAUUCCAAUCUAUUCCCACCUGUAACAUUGGCCCAAUACAG